rnacentral:rRNA from 1 species
AACGAACGCUGGCGGCAGGCUUAACACAUGCAAGUCGAACGCCCCGCGAGGGGAGUGGCAGACGGGUGAGUAACGCGUGGGAACGUGCCCUUCGCUUCGGAAUAUUCCCGGGAAACUGGGAGCAAUGCCGGAUACGCCGAAUUGGGAAAGAUUUAUCGGCGAAGGAUCGGCCCGCGUUAGAUUAGGUAGUUGGUGGGGUAAUGGCCUACCAAGCCUACGAUCUAUAGCUGGUCUGAGAGGAUGAUCAGCCACACUGGGACUGAGACACGGCCCAGACUCCUACGGGAGGCAGCAGUGGGGAAUCUUGGACAAUGGGCGCAAGCCUGAUCCAGCCAUGCCGCGUGAGUGAAGAAGGCCUUAGGGUUGUAAAACUCUUUCGCCGGUGGAGAUAAUGACGGUAGCCGGAGAAGAAGCCCCGGCUAACUUCGUGCCAGCCGCCGCUGUAACAC